rnacentral:rRNA from 1 species
GAUAAACGCUGGCGGCGCACAUAAGACAUGCAAGUCGAACGGAAGUCGUUAUAAAAAGGAUUGAAGAUUUAUCUGAUUGAGAUUUUAUAACAAUGGCUUUAGUGGCGGACUGGUGAGUAACGCGUGAGUAACCUGCCUACUAGAGGGGAAUAACAGUGAGAAAUCAUUGCUAAUACCGCAUAAGCCCACGGCCCGGCAUCGGGCUGAGGGAAAAGGAUUUAUUCGCUUCAGGAUGGACUCGCGUCCAAUUAGCUAGUUGGUGAGGUAACGGCCCACCAAGGCGACGAUUGGUAGCCGGACUGAGAGGUUGAACGGCCACAUUGGGACUGAGACACGGCCCAG